UACAGAGGGGGCAAGCGUUGUUCGGAAUUACUGGGCGUAAAGGGCGCGUAGGCGGCCUGUUAAGUCGAACGUGAAAUCCCCGGGCUCAACCCGGGAACUGCGUCCGAUACUGGCAGGCUUGAAUUCGGGAGAGGGAUGUGGAAUUCCAGGUGUAGCGGUGAAAUGCGUAGAUAUCUGGAGGAAUACCGGUGGCGAAGGCGGCAUCCUGGACCGAGAUUGACGCUGAUGAGCGAAAGCUAGGGGAGCAAACGGG
rnacentral:rRNA from 1 species